AUAGAGACCCCAGGUUUUGACCUUGUCACAGGAGAGUUUCCCCUUGAGGGAAGGUCCCUCUUCACCAGACAGUGAACUUCCUGGUAGUUUGGGUGGGAACAGCUAAUCCCAUCCAACAUUGAACAUCCCUUUUGUCCCAAUGGUUUCUUCCCCCUAGGCUAAAGUCCAUGACCAAGGUGACCCAGCCCUAGGCUGAGUCUUUCCCUUUUGUGUCCAUUGUAGGGCCCCAGCCCCUCACUAUUAUUCCUGUCCGGAACUCUUCAUUUUCCUUUCUUACCAUUGUAAAGUCAAUCAACUGUCCCUCUAAUCCUAAAGCCCCCAGGUCAUCUAGAGUGGUAUAUAGGUUCUCUAAGUUCUUUUGUUCCUCGGAGUCCAUCCUGAGUCGGUGGCACUCCCAGGGGCUGGUGGCCAGAGCGUCUUGACUCCGGUGCAGUCCGGUGCAGAAAUCAGCUCUGUUGUCGUAGUAGCAGCGCUAACCCCUUUUCCCUUGAUUAAAGAGUGAUUUUGACUAUUUAAUAGUUCUGUGUUUUUCCUAGUUGACACUUUCUAAAUUAAUAAGUCUCUUUUUGUUUUUAAGCUAGGUUUGGAGUCAUUGCAUGCUUGCAAAAGGCAUCCUUCCGGAACCCAAAAGGGUAUCCUUCCACACCCAUAACAUUUUGACGCCCAAUGUGGUUUUUGGCUCUCCUGAAAGCUACUCCUGUACCCCGAAUCGCCCACGAGGACAGGGCUUCUCAGGGAUGACAAAGGGCCCCCCACUUCCUGUGUGUGUAUGCCAUGGAGUCUUAGGCACUUGGGUAUAGUGGUGAACUGUUCAAAGUCUGAAGCCCAUGAAACAUCAAUGAUUGGUGACUAUCCCAUGUCACAAGGUGAGUCCCUUCUCUCUUCUGAUACCAUGUCAAUAUUAGACUUCCAUUAACAUUUAGUUAGAGUCCAGGUGACCCUAAUAUAUUGAAAAUAAAUGAUGAAUCACAUUCA
rnacentral:lncRNA from 1 species